rnacentral:rRNA from 1 species
AUUGAACGCUGGCGGCAGGCCUAACACAUGCAAGUCGAGCGGAGUUUUCGGACCUAGCGGCGGACGGGUGAGUAAUGCGUAGGAAGCUACCCGAUAGAGGGGGAUACCAGUUGGAAACGACUGUUAAUACCGCAUAAUGUCUACGGACCAAAGUGUGGGACCUUCGGGCCACAUGCUAUCGGAUGCGCCUACGUGGGAUUAGCUAGUUGGUGGGGUAAUGGCUCACCAAGGCGACGAUCCCUAGCUGGUUUGAGAGGAUGAUCAGCCACACUGGAACUGAGACACGGUCCAGACUCCUACGGGAGGCAGCAGUGGGGAAUAUUGGACAAUGGGCGCAAGCCUGAUCCAGCCAUGCCGCGUGUGUGAAGAAGGUCUUCGGAUUGUAAAGCACUUUAAGUUGGGAGGAAGGGCAGCUAGUUAAUACCUGGUUGUUUUGACGUUACCAACAGAAUAAGCACCGGCUAACUUCGUGCCAGCAGCCGCAGUAAAAC